GUGACAUCAGGGAUAUGCUAACUAUCAUGUGACGCCCUCCGGUGGGCUAUGCCGUGUCCGAAACAGAUCCCUUGGUCAUUCCUUCAUUUAUAGUAUUUGGAAUAUAGUGAAGAAGGUGAGAGAGCAGGGUAUGUCCCAAAUGACAUACUUCACAUGAUGCAAGUAAACUAAUCACUCUACCAUCAUCUCAAAUUAAACACUUAGGGGUUUUUUUUUUAAUUAAAGAAUACAAAACUUUAAUUACAGCAAAGGCAAAACUAGACAUUCACCAGAAAUACAUGAAAGCCACUGAACACAUUGAAACUAAACAGAGCAUCAUACAUUAAGUAAAUGUACAUUAAAUAGUUAAAAUAAAAAUAGAUAAAAUAACCCAAAUAGACAAAUUAAAAUUAGAGAUAAUUUAAAAAAUGGGGCAACACUAUUUCACAAUAAGUCAUAUGUUAUCAGCAAAUCAAACAGUUCUUUUUCAUUUUGACGUUUGAGAUCUUACAUGUUUUGUCCAACAUGACUUCAGUCAUCAUCAGACUAAUGCACAGUCAUCUCUGUAGGUGAUAUUUGCUUGCACAAUACCUGAUAGAGCCGCCUAUACUGAAACACUGAAAUAGGAGAUAGGGAGCAGUUUCAGACACAGCUGUAGUCUCACAAAUUCCUGUGGCAUAUAUAUGUAGGUCUAUUAAGGUCUUAUUGUACAAGAACUUAUGUCAUGUAAAAAAAAAAAAAAAAAUUAAAGUAGCUGCACUUCAUUUAAAUCAUUUUUAAAAUGUCAAUGUUAUGGAUGUAGUUUACAUUGACAUUGUUUUCAAAUUUCCAGUUGAAGUAAAUAGACUUUUCACAAGCUAUGGAGCAGAAGCCAGCAGGAGAUCUUUAAGUCGCCGUAAUCAUUCUGCAAGACCUCGCAGUAGCUUCACAAGAGUGUUCUGCUGCUUAAGUAGCAUGACACAGAGUGUUGCACCAGCAAAGUCUGAAAAGGAGGAACUGGAAGCUGCAGGACUUGGAGAGAAAAAAGUAACAUUUUUGUGAUGAAAGUAAUGCAGAAGAGUUUAAAAACUAUAUUCUAACGACAUAUUCAAAACUUGAAAACUGUGGGGCAUUUGAGAUUUUAAAAACAUCAGGCUUGACCCGAUCAGGGAAGCUGAAAAUGGGACACGCUGUCAUCUACAUACGUCCUAUACUAAAAGACUUAGAUCUGUCCAGUUCUGUUGUCUGCGAAUCUCCUAUGCUUGGGCCAAUGGAGAGAUGUCUUACCUGUGAAAAACAGUUCAAUUUCAAUGAACUGAAGGGUGAACGAUUUAACCCUGGAGCAAGACUGGAUGUAAUUUUUGUUGAUGAUUCAAAAGCAGCAGAGGGAGCCGUGGACGGUGGUGGUCCAACUAGAGAGUACCUCAGAUUGCUCCUUAAGGCUGUCCAACAGUCUAGCAUAUUUGAGGGCCCUGAAAAUAGUUAAAGGUUGUGGCUUGACACAGAAGAAAGGAUCUUUCUCCAGGUUUGUGGUAAACCCACCUCUCCUCCAACCUUGGAUGAAGUAGAUGAUGAGACCUUUAAAGAGAUGUUUUGCAAAAUAAAAGAAGAUGAUAAAAUUGCGAGUCCAUGAUUGGUGCCUUUAGAUCCAUUAGUACUCUUAAGCACCGGGACAUGCUGGUACAGUCAGCUGUGGAGUAUUAAUAUGUUGAUGGGAGAUGCAGGGUUGCACUGCAACAGUACGUAGUAUCACAAAUGUUCUUGUUUAUUGAAAUUAUUUUUAGACCUUGUUCUUUGUAGAUUCUGUAGAUGUUUUUUACAGGUUUGUUGAUGGUUUUAACACCCUUGGACUUCUUCAAGAAAUGCAGAUACACACAGAUCUGUUUCAUACCGUGUUUGUUGAAGACAAAAAACCACUGAGAUCAUCAGACCUGACAUCACUUUUUGAAGUAAACCUGUCAGAUCAAGACACCUAUAAGAGAGAACUAGAGACAAGGACUUUGUGCUACUGGAGAGACUGGAUCAUUGAUGUUAAAGGCAUUUACAAAUCUUUUUUAUUUUAAAUUUUUUUUUCUUAUAAAGUUUUAUUUAUAGCUGAUGUAAUCACAAUUUAUAUAUGAUUAAAAGUGCAAUAUUACUUUAAUAAAGUGGUUCUUCCAACAGGUUAAUGUAAAUGACAUUUCACACCAAUACUGAUAGAUAUGCUUACCUCCCUGUUCCAAAAGAAGAGAGCAGCUAGAGAUGUCAUUGUUCGUCUUAAAUAACAGUAUUAAUACUAAAUUAGAUUUUAGACACUACUGCAAAUUUUGUAUUUGUGCUGUCAACACCGAACCAUAGCAUUUUUCAAAACAUCACACAGUAGCAUAGU